UACGAGGGGGGCAAGCGUUGUUCGGAAUUAUUGGGCGUAGAGGGUGCGUAGGCGGUGCGGUAAGUCUGUUGUGAAAUCUCCGGGCUCAACUCGGAGUCUGCAUCAGAAACUGCCGUGCUGGAGUGUGGGAGAGGUGAGUGGAAUUCCCGGUGUAGCGGUGAAAUGCGUAGAGAUCGGGAGGAACACCUGCGGCGAAAGCGGCUCACUGGACCAUAACUGACGCUGAUGCACGAAAGCUAGGGGAGCAAACAGG
rnacentral:rRNA from 1 species